rnacentral:rRNA from 1 species
ACGGGAGGCAGCAGUGGGGAAUAUUGAACAAUGGGGGCAACCCUGAUCCAGCGACGCGGCGUGAGGGAAGAAGGUUUUCGGAUUGUAAACUUCUGUUGACGGAGAAAAAAAUGAUGGUAUCCGUUUAGAAAGCCACGGCUAACUACGUGCCAGCAGCCGCGGUAAUACGUAGGUGGCAAGCGUUGUCCGGAAUUACUGGGUGUAAAGGGAGUGUAGGCGGGAUAUCAAGUCAGAAGUGAAAAUUACGGGCUCAACUCGUAACCUGCUUUUGAAACUGACAUUCUUGAGUGAAGUAGAGGCAAGCGGAAUUCCUAGUGUAGCGGUGAAAUGCGUAGAUAUUAGGAGGAACACCAGUGGCGAAGGCGGCUUGCUGGGCUUUUACUGACGCUGAGGCUCGAAAGCGUGGGGAGCAAACAGGAUUAGAUACCCUGGUAGUCCACGCCGUAAACGAUGAUUACUAGGUGUGGGGGGAUUGACCCCUUCCGUGCC